AAUUUUGCAUAAAACACAUGAAGUAAUAGUUUAAAACUUCGAUCAAGUUUUUUUUUAAAAAAAUCCCAUUUUCCCUAUCGUUCUCGAUCUCUUUCCCUAACCCCAUAACCAGUUCAUCAUAUAGCUUCUAACAUAUCAAACAUUAUUAAACCAAGAAUUAGUUAUGAACUCAGGAUCUGAUAUUAGUAGCAUCCAAUUCCAUCUCUAUCUCUAUUAUAUAAAGGAACAGCUGAGGGCAUUUUGGUAACUCAACUUUUCAUAUCCCAAGCGAAAAGACGAAAAUACCCUCAUUUGUUGUUUAUCGGGGCUUGCUGAGCCUUCGUUUCUAGGGCGAGAUUUCGUUUAUCCCAUCUCUCUCCUCUCACCUGCCUCUCUCCCCCUCUCACCUGCCUCUCUCCUUCCUCGCCGUCGUCCCUCUUUAAUGGCGACUCUGAGGUCAAUCGGAGGGAAAUGCAGAGCCUUAUUGGCGGAAUCAACGACCGCUACUGGUGCUACAAAAAGAUCGGAGCCUCCUUUCUCCGCUGCUUCUGGUAACAAUAAUAGAGGUAUUUUGGUCUCUCCCACCCCCAGUGACUUGGAACUACAUCAAGCUUCACCAUCUUCAGGGAAGAGAUGUACGUCAUUUUCGGAAAUUAGGUAUCAAUUAGCCAAAUUCGUGAAAAAUACCCAGAAGAACCCUCCUCAAGAAUAAGAUCGAGCUCUUUAGCACACCGAUGAUGUCCUCAAGGUUUAACACUUUCAAAAGAAUCUGGAACUGAAGCAAAGCCAGAUCGGUGUAGCAGCCAGAAGAAGCUUAUUCAAAGAUACCGGCUCCAUUUCCGCGAUCCUCUUUAUAUAAGUCUUUUAAGCACGCAAUGUGUGCGAAAUUUUUAGAAUGUAGGUAUGCGGACAAUAAGAAAUUAAUAUUUAUUAUCGUAAAAUGACUACCUAUCUUUUAUAUUAUUUUGAAAGCAUCUUAACCAAUUUCUUAAUAAGAGAAAGGUUUAAAAGA